rnacentral:misc_RNA from 1 species
GAUAUAGUGGUCCUGUCCAAGGCUCCAGCAGCAUCAAUUUUUGUUGACGAUGCCAACAACUGUUUGUGUUGGGCAGUUUUGGGUGCUUGCUCCUUUCUUUUUGGACCCAGGGAAUGCACGGUAUCUACAAUUUGGGUUGCACCAGCGACAUUCUGAACACUGGUUGGUUCUUGAUUCUCAAUCCCAGUUUUACCUUUUAGGCAUGUGUCUUUACUACUUGAAU